GGAAGGAAGGAAGGAAGGAAGGAAGGAAUAAAUUAAUCAAUGACGAAAGAAAAAGAAAAAAAGAAGGAAAGAAAGGAAGGAAGGAAGGAAGGAAGGAAGGAUAGAGAUAAAGAAUAAAGAAGAGAAAUAAUGAAGGAAGGAAGCAUGGAGCGAAUGAAGGAAAGAAGGAAGAAAGAAUCUCUCUCUCUCUCUCUCUCUCUCUCUCUCUCUCUCUCUCUCUCCCCCUCUCUUCUCCCUCCCUCUCUCUCUCUCCCCCUCCUAGCGGUGUGGACUCUAGCAGCCAGGCGUUUGACCCCCGACCGAGGCAUUACUUGGUAUGGUUGUAGACAGAGCACACACGGGCGAGGGAGUGUCUGAACCUCUCCCUCACAUACUAAAGACACAAUGCUUGCUAAGUUUGGCGAGGGAUGUUGAGUGUUGCAGCUGCCCGGUGUAUAUCAAGUGCUCUUAUUACUGAUGCAAGUGAUCGUAGCUUGAGGUUUUGGGUUUUGUCAGUGAGAUUGUUUGUGUGUUUGUGUGGUAAUUGUUGUGUGUGUGUGGGGGUUCGACCUGUCAUGUGUAUCGGAAGCUAUAGAAUUACUGAGUUGUCUGGUUCUAGCUGGGAAUGUUACUGAAAUCUUUUAUAAGUCCUAAAUGAUGAUGAUAACAAGAUCGGCAGAUUAACUGAGUCGGAUAAGGACGCUAGUAUUCUCCAGGAUGAGCUAAACAGAUUGCAUGACUGGCCGGGGAAAUGGGAAAUGGCAGAUGGAGUCCAGUGUCGGGAAGUGCAGUAUUCUGAGUGUAGGUGGGAACAAGCAACCCCUCAUGAAUAGUGAUGUUAGGCGGGGUUAGGUUCACAGGAGCUGCCUUGUACAGACCCACCGCCCUCAUGCAGACUUGACGUUCUAAUGUUCUUACUGUUUUGUCUGUCCUUUCUGCACACUAAACAGGAAGAAAGCAGAAAAAAACACCUAACAAAGCUCCACCUUAUCACAACAAAACCAUUUUCAUCUUAGUCUAACCUUCCUGCACGCACGCUCAUAAAGGAGAAUGCUUUUAGAACCUUACCCAACAAAUUUCCACCCCAAGCCAUACAAGCUAACCGUUCCCACCUCCACCACCUCCUACACGUGAGUUCUAGUUGCGUGGUGAGUCAAGCAAGCACUUCCUUUCCCUCGCCUCCGCCAGCCAACAUAAACACUAACACGCAUGCACGGGAAUUUGUUUCUUAUUGUUUUUAUCGCCUACCGCCACUCGACCUGCUUCCUGUGCGCUAUUACUGGAGCUAUGAACACAGAGGCGGAUCAUGCGUCGACGGAGGCAUAUCGCGUGUAAACAGAGGUGACCUAAUUUAAGACUUCUAUGAAAACUGUACGGCGAAACGUGGAUAUGGAAAAGUGACUGACUGAAGGAGGAGUGUAGGCGGUAUUAUGUCAUUUUUAGAACGAGUUAAAGCAAGGGUCAUAGGUAAGGGGUCAAUUGUGCGUUAACAGAGGUGACCUAAUUUAAGACUUCUAAGAAAACUGUACGGCGAAACGUGGAUAUGGAAAAGUGACUGACUGAAGGAGGAGUGUAGGCGGUAUUAUAUCAUUUUUAGAACGAGUUAAAGUAAGGGUCAUAGGUAAAGGGUCAAUCGUGCGUUAACAGAGGUGACCUAUUUCAGAGAUCCUACUAUGAAAAACGGACGGGAAACCUGUUGUAUAGGAUUUUUUUUUUUAAACAGCAAAGGAGACAGUUCAAGGGCAUAAAAAAAAAACAAUAAUGAAAAAAAAGCCCGUUACUUACUGCUCCUAAAAAGAGUACAGAGGAGUGGCCGAAAGAGAGGUCAAUUUCGGGAGGAGAGGUGUCCUGAUACCCUCCUCUUGAAAUAAGGAGGAAGUGGAAGCUGUAUCCUAUUGUGUAAGCAUUGAAGGACAAAAAAAAAGUACAGGGAGAUGUUGACAAAGGAAUGAUAGACACUAGAGAGAGACAUUGCAAAGAUUGUAUAUAACCAGAACCACCGCCACCACCACCACCACUACCAACACGGCGAUUAUGACACACCAUUACCAUUUCUGAAGGACUAAUGUUUGGAAUGCACUGGACGAGGAGGCGGUGCAAGCAUGAAACGCCUUUGAGCCUAAGCUGAAAAAAAGUAGAUAAAGAGACAGGUGGAUAAAGGUAGACAUAGAGACAGCUGGAUAAAGAUAGACAUUUUUUUUUUUUUUACGUCGUGGCCUAUUGCGCCGGUAGGCCUCUUCCCGGUGGGGCCUGAAGGUCGGCCCAAGGCUUCUUCCCGGUGGGGCCUGAUGGUCGGCCCAGCCCGUUCUGGCACAGGCGAGUGUUUAUAGUAGCACCAUCUUGCAUUGGCUCAUGCUGCCCUCCCGGAGCUCAUCUUUAAUCCUAUAAUCUAGAGUCCGGGUUGAUAGGUGGUAUUCUGGACAGCAUGUGGGUAGUUUUAAGCCACUCGGCGGCGGCUGAAAAAUCCCAGCUUGGUGGCACCGGGCGGGGAUUGAACUCGCGUCCUCCUGAACGCGGCGCC